rnacentral:rRNA from 1 species
CCUACGGGUGGCAGCAGUGGGGAAUAUUGGGCAAUGGACGCAAGUCUGACCCAGCAACGCCGCGUGAAGGAAGAAGGCUUUCGGGUUGUUAACUUCUUUUAAGGGGGAAGAGCAGAAGACGGUACCCCUUGAAUAAGCCACGGCUAACUACGUGGCAGCAGCCGCGGUAAUAUGUAGGUCGCAAGCGUUGUCCGGAUUUACUGGGUGUAAAGGGCGUGCAGCCGGAGAGACAAGUCAGAUGUGAAAUCCACGGGCUCAAACCGUGAACUACCUUUGAAACUGUUUCCCUUGAGUGUCGGAGAGGUAAGCGGAAUGCCUAGUGUAGCGGUGAAAUGCGUAGAUAUUAUGAAGAACACCAGUGGCGAAGGCGGAUUACUGGACGAUAACUGACGGUGAGGCGCGAAAGCGUGGGGAGCAAACAGGAUUAGAUACCCCAAUAGUC